rnacentral:rRNA from 1 species
AAGUUUCAACAACGGAUCUCUUGGCUCUCGCAUCGAUGAAGAACGCAGCGAAAUGCGAUAAGUAAUGUGAAUUGGAUAAUUCAAUGAAUCAUCAAAUCUUUGAACGCACCUUGCGCUCCUUGGUAUUCCUUGGAGCAUGCCUGUUUGAGUAUCAU